rnacentral:lncRNA from 1 species
AUGGAAAAAGCAAGAGAGUUCCAGAAAAACAUCUAUUUCUGCUUUGUUAACUAUGCCAAAACCUUUGACUGUGUGGAUCACAAUAAACUGAGGAAAAUUCUGAAAGAGAUGGGAAUACCAGACCACCUAACCUGCCUCUUGAGAAAUCUGUAUGCAGGUCAGGAAGCAACAGUUAGAACUGGACAUGGAACAACAGACUGGUUCCAAAUAGGAAAAGGAGUACGUCAAGGCUGUAUAUUGUCAGCCUGCUUAUUUAACUCUAUCAGGUACACCAUGAGAAACGUUGGACUGGAAGAAACACAAGCUGGAAUCAAGAUUGCCGGGAGAAAUAUCAAUAACCUCAGAUAUGCAGACGACACCACCCUUAUGGCAGAAAGUGAAGAGGAACUAAAAAGCCUCUUGAUGAAAGUGAAAGAGGUGAGUCAGAAGGUUGGCUUAAAGCUCAACAUUCAGAAAACGAAGAUCAUGGCAUCCAGUCCCAUCACUUCAUGGGAAAUAGAUGGGGAAACAGUGGAAACAGUGUCAGACUUUAUUUUUGGGGGGGCGCCAAAAAUCAGUGCAGAUGUUGAUUGCAGCCAUGAAAUUAAAAGACGCUUACUCCUUGGAAGAAAAAUUAUGACCAACCUAGAUAGUAUACUCAAAAGCAGAGACAUUACUUUGCUGACCAAGGUCCGUCUAGUCAAGGCUAUGGUUUUUCCUGUGGUCAUGUAUGGAUGUGAGAGUUGGACUGUGAAAAAGGCUGAGAGCCGAAGAAUUGAUGCUUUUGAACUGUGGUGUUGGAGAAGACUCUUGAGAGUCCCUUGGACUGCAAGGAGAUCCAACCAGUCCAUUCUGAAGGAGAUCAGCCCUGGGAUUUCUUUGGAAGGACCGAUGCUAAAGCUGAAGCUCCAGUACUUUGGCCACCUCAUGCGAAGGGUUGACUCACUGGAAAAGACUCUGAUGCUGGGAGGGACUGGGGGCAGGAGGAGAAGGGGACAACAGAGGAUGAGAUGGCUGGAUGGCAUCACGGACUCGAUGGAGGUGAGUCUGAGUGAACUCUGGGAGAUGGUGAUAGAGAGGGAGGCCUGGCGUGCUGCGAUUCAUGGGGUCGCAAAGAGUUGGACAUGA